GAAUAAUACCUAUCGACUGACAUGUCAUCUAUGGACCCCCGGGCCCACAGUCGCACCGUUCCUCCACGUCCGCGGCUGAGCAAAGGAGCUGCACGCACGCGCAAGAAAGGAGGUCGGAGGAGUGAGACUGAGGAAACGAAGUGAGAGCGGCGAACAGCGACGAUUCUGCGCAUGUUCAAGGCGCGGAGGUUGGUAGGAGUUUGCGCAUGAGCAGAAGUGUCGGGAAAGCUGGAGAAGGGUUCGGAGGCGGUAUUGACAGCUGUGGAGGCAGCCCGCGUUCCCGGCAUGCCCCGGGGCGGCGGGGUUGGCUCUAACGAAUUUGAAUGAGGAGCCUCAGCGCUUUCGGCGCCAUUUUCGAGUGAUGCCUGAUCUCAUCAAUCUACUGGGAGAGACGGGAUAACCUGUCCGAGAUUAUAGCGCUAUUAGGACUCCGCUGAAAAAUCACUAAAAAAAUCGCCAAAAAUUACUUCGAGCAAAGGGCAGUCUGUGGGGCUUCGCCAGGGUUGGCGCAGACGUCUUUGAAACAUGUCGCAAGGAUAAAAGCAAUCUGUGAAACUAUUGAUGUUUUCCUCCCGAAAAGUCUUAGCCCGGACAACUUAACGGUUUUGACCUUUAGGAGAGAGCCAAUUCUGGAGAACAACCUAACUUCUUUGAUUGAACACUCACAUAAUGCAUUGGAACAUGAUAGGAGAUUAAGGUUUAAUAAUGAUAAAAUGAAGACCAUAAUAAAACAGUCCCCCUACUUAGCCCAGCAAUUCUUACCUUUCUUACCUACUUGAUGAAGAGGUCUUUUGAAAGGUGUACUGCAAGGAAUGCAAUGCUGUCUGUAAAUUAACACUUUUACCAAGAAACUCUAAAAGUAUUUCAGAUGUAAAUUAAAGAAUUGUAUUUGAGGAUCUUCUGUUUAAAUUCUAAUCUGAAGGUAAAGAAAAUAUAUAAGAUAAAGCUUUCAUUUUUAAGAACAGUUUUUCCCCCAAAUAAGGAAGCAGCAUACCAUAUAUAUGGUAUUAGUAUUAAAUGCCAGCAUUUACAUGGAAAUAAGUAUUGCCUUGGUGCUUUGAAAAAUCAUUCAUCAAGCUCUUAACCUGUUUUCCUUUAUUUCAACUCUUUUGUGAAAGACUGUAACAAAUAAAUGAUGAUUUUUAAUUCCACUAAAAGUAUUCCAGGAUUUAACAUCUAAAUGCUUAGAAAUAUUUAUUGAAUAAAUUACAAAGUUUGUGCAGUAUUUUCCAGAACAACUCAGGAAUUAGAUUUCCUUUUUCUGUUUUUUGUUUUCCUAAGUACAUUUUGACUUAAUUUUAGAAAAUUAUAUUUAGUCUAAUCUGCUUUCUAAAUGACAGAGAGAAAACCUGGAUUUUACAUUUACUAGGUGAAUCUUUAUAUCUGGAUGCUCCAGAUGUGAAGAAGGAAUAUUUGGGGCUAUUACAGCUAAAGGAAAACUUUCUUCUUUUAAUCCUGAGAAUGGAUUAAAGAAAAAUUGAAAUAUUGGCGAAGUGAGAAACUAUAGAAAAACUGUUAUAUUGAAAUUUAUCGUAACAGCAUACAGCUUCUUUCCAGUCUCUUACUAAAGAAGAGGAAAUGGCCUAUCAGUACCUAAUGAAACACACAUUUUAGGUAAUUCAGUGGAACUGGGAAGUUUUAUUUGUAUGAGUUAAUACACUUCCAUCUUUGUGUAAUUUUGAACACAUAAAGCGCAAAUAGUAAAAUAAAAGUUAUACCCUUUAUAACCUAAAUUUGGCUAUUUUACAAAGAAAAAUAAGUAUGGGUGUGUAUUAAAUUUUCAUUUUUCCAUCUUCUUUGGAAAAUAUCCUCAUUUUUUUCAUUCAGUCUCUUUUUAAGUUGAUGCCAAAUAAUUUCAAUAUUGAGCAUCUUAAAUCUUUUACUUGGAAUAUGGAUUGAGUUUGGAGCUAAUUCAGAGGACUCAGGCAAGUAUCCAGGAGGCAGCAAGAGGAAUAUUUUAAUAGUUGAAUAACUCAGUUUAUAUCCUAUAUUUAAAUGGAGAUCUCCUAAGAUCACACAUACAGAUAUGUGAUGGUAGAUACGAAAAUUUGGCCUUAGACUAAAUUCUGUACUCAACCCUAAAGGUUUUCUUCAAUCAAUUAUAUAUCCUUUUGAUUGUUACAGAAUUACAUGUUGUUUGUAAGCCACUAAGUAUCAUUAUGGAUACAUGCCCAGGUUAGCCAUAAUUGGAUAAGCAAGAUUAUACUUUCAUAAACUGUGAUCUCUAAGUUAAUUAUUUAUUUAUUUAGAAGUUGACAUUCUAAAUCAAUUUUUUUUCCUUUUGCAGGUGGAUAUUACUAUCCCUUAUUCAUCGAAAAAGUUUUAAUUCUAAGUGUUUUUUCUCAUUGAGUAUUAACAAAAAGGAGAAAAACUAAUGUCCCAAACUUUUGAGAUAGAUUUGGCUCUAGUAAGUAUUUAGACAUAUUAUUUGCAUAUCUAGGAGAAGAAAUGAGACCAUCAUCAUUUCCAGCUAAAAUUAUUUUUUUUACCUCUGUCAAAGGAUUUCUUGCAAUUUCUGUCUUAUUACUAAUAACUUGAGCCCCUUUAAUGCAGAACUAACUCACCAGAAAUGUGAGUGUGUAUGUUCUUGCCUUGUUUGUUUAAAAAUAUAUCUCACAGAUUUCUGAUGUCUUUUUUUUUUUGAGCUAUAUACAAUGAAGAAAAUAUUGACAAAAUAAAUAAGUUUAUACCUUUUAUGUUAAAGUUACUGUGCAAGGUGACAAGUUAGUUGCUUUUUUUUUGCUUUAUUAUUACUGAAAUUAAAUUCAACAUUUAUAAUUUCUAUUUGGGUCUAUUUCUUGAUUACUAAUACAUGGAAUUCAUGCAAAAACUUUAUGAGUAAAAUACUUAAAUUAGCGUAUCAAUGAUUAUAGGUCCCCCUUAAUUCUGUGAAACUUUGAAUAAUAUAUUUAUUGUAUUCUUGUGAUUGAACUUUUGUGUUUUGAAGAAAUAUAAACUACCUGGAAAAUGUUGUUAUUGUUUCUAUUUAUCAUAUGCUGUAGGAUUAGAUUUUAAGCAAUUAAGCUUUUAAGCUACUUUUACACAAAAUGUUACUCAAUCUGGUUAACUUGUUAUUUAAAAGUAUUUUGUAUAUCUUUGUUUUAUAAUUUAACCACCCACAUGGAUUAUUCUAUUAAAGAAUAUCUUUAGGAAGUGGUAGAAAUUCUGAAUCACCCCAGAGUUUGCUUAUUUCCACAUUUCAUUAUUUUAUAAUCUUUGGGAAUGCUUAUAUUAUAGCAUUUCAGGGGUAUAAGUUCUUAUAGUACCACUAAAACUUUUUUCUUUUUUGUAUUUAAUGCAUAUGAUAGUAAAUUACAGGAGAUUUUUUUGUUUCCCUGUCAUCAAUUAAAAAUGCCAUUUUAGCAUGAAACAAACAGUGAAGAAGGGUAUUUGUUGUCCUGUAGUAUAAGUUAAGAAAGUUUAAGUACAUCAUUCCUUAAGAGAAUUUUUAAAUUGUAAAAUAAUUAAUGCAGAUUUUUAUAUUAUUUAGUUUAUACUUUCAUGAAUAUCUUGUGGCAGUGUGAAAAUGCUAAUGUUUGACAGGGAGCAUUAAAAUUAGAUUUGAAACAUUA